CACAUAAUCAACAUCAGUUAAAUCAAUAUAAAAGAUGUACUCAAAUUAUAACUAACAGACUAAUUGAUGUUAUCACAAUAACUACAUACCAGUCAUCAUUGGUAUGAUUUUCUGUUUCUUGCUCCAACUGUACAACGAUAUUCUUCUGUUUAACACUAUAAUAAUAUUUGCUUUAGUAUUAAUCUCACUCUGUUGCUGUAAUACGUUUCUGUAUGUUAAGAUCAAAAGAAUGGCUAUACAGAUGAAACCCCACAUAAAUAUGCUUUCCAGUUUCUUCUGAGGACCUCUGUACAGUCCUGACAAUACCUCUUAGCCUUGGCUUCUCCUCAGGAGGACACUCAGACUCAAGCUUUAUAAUGCCCCUUUCCAGCUUGAAGUAAUCAGAGUGGUCAGUGUCCCAACUCCCAGCAGUAGUCAGGGUGUCCUCUGAGAGGGGGGAUUGAGGGAGAUGUAUAAGGGCUUAGGCAGCCAGGGCAGGAUGGCAAGUGAGGAGGUUAGGGGCAGGAUCAGAACAAAGGAGCACGGAGAGGGUCUUCUGAUGAGGUCAACCUCCUGGUUGUUGAAAGCACUCAUGGACACAAGUGGAGGACCAGUCAGACAGAUACUUCCAUAUCUGUGCUCCUAAGUGGGGAAUCCAAAAAAAGAAGACUUUUUCAAAUAACAAAAGCAUAGAAAAACUAAAACAGACACGUGGACAGAAGAGGCACCAAUCAAUAAUAGUGAGGAGAGCACGGAUAGACAGGCCAAAACCCCCUCACUAGAUUCCCAGCUCUGGGGCCCCUUCUCUUCAGAGAAGUCUAUCUCUCUCACUUUUGCAAUAAAUCUGCAGCUUGCUUGCUAUCUCUGUUGCUAUCUGGUUCUGAUAGCUCUUGCUAUCUCUGUUGUGUCCUGUUCUCCAAUUCUUUGCUGAACAGAGAAAGAACCCAGCACUCCUAAAUGGUAACAGAAUAAACAUGUGAGCCAGGUACUAUGGUGAAUGCCUGAAAUCCCAGCUACUUGUGAGGCUGAAGCAGGAGGAUCACAAGUUCAAGGCCAGUUUGAGCAACUUAGUGAGCUUUUGUCUCAAAAUUUAAAAAAAUAAGUAAAAAAGGCUGAGAGUGUAGCUCAGUAUUAGGGUUUCCCUGG
rnacentral:lncRNA from 1 species